UACGUAGGGUGCAAGCGUUAAUCGGAAUUACUGGGCGUAAAGGGAGCGUAGGCGGUUUUUUAAGUGGGGUGUGAAAUCCCUGGGCUUAACCCAGGAAUUGCAUUCCAUACUGGAAGACUAGAGUGCAGGAGAGGAAAGUGGAAUUCCAAGUGUAGCGGUGAAAUGCGUAGAGAUUUGGAGGAACACCGAUGGCGAAGGCAGCCUCCUGGGCCAACACUGACGCUCAUGCACGAAAGCGUGGGGAGCAAACAGG
rnacentral:rRNA from 1 species